AUUGAACGCUGGCGGCGUGCCUAACACAUGCAAGUCGAGCGGUAACAGGUGUAGCAAUACAUGCUGACGAGCGGCGAACGGGUGAGUAAUGCUUCGGAAUCUACCCAAUGGUGGGGAAUAACCAGCCGAAAGGUUGGCUAAUACCGCAUACGUCCUACGGGAGAAAGCAGGGGAUCGUAAGACCUUGCGCCAAUGGAUGAGCCGAAGUCGGAUUAGCUAGUUGGAGGGUAACGGCCUACCAAGGCGACGAUCCGUAGCUGGUCUGAGAGGACGACCAGCCACACUGGGACUGAGACACGGCCCAGACUCCUACGGGAGGCAGCAGUGGGGAAUAUUGGACAAUGGGGGAAACCCUGAUCCAGCGACGCCGCGUGUGUGAAGAAGGCCUGCGGGGUUGUAAAGCACUUUUAGUGGGGAUGAAAAGUUCAGGGCUAAUACCCCUGGAUCUUGACCUAACCCACAG
rnacentral:rRNA from 1 species